rnacentral:rRNA from 1 species
CGCCUGUUUAUCAAAAACAUGUCUUUUUGUUAAUUAUUUAAGGUUUGGCCUGCUCCAUGAUAAAUUAAAUAGCCGCAGUAUUUUGACUGUGCAAAGGUAGCAUAAUCAUUAGUUUUUUAAUUGAAAGCUGGAAUGAAGGGCUGGAUGAGAAAGUGACUGUCUCACUCUUAUUUUCAUUGAACUUUAUUUUUAAGUUAAAAAGCUUAAAUUAAAUAAAAAGACGAGAAGACCCUAUAGAGUUUAAUAAAUUUAAAUUUUGAUUGUUAGAAGAAUUUAUUAUAAUUAAAGUUUAAUUUAUUUAGUUGGGGUGACAGGAGAAUUUAGUUAACUUCUAUUUAAUGUUUACAUUGAUUAAUGAAUGGCUGAUCCUGAAGUUUGGAUUAAAAGAAUAAAUUACCUUAGGGAUAACAGCGUAAUUCUUUUGGAGAGUUCUAAUCAAUAAAAGUGAUUGCGACCUCGAUGUUGGAUUAAAGUGAAAUUUGGGUGCAGAAGCUUGAAUUUUUAGACUGUUCGACUUUUAAAACUUUCGUGAUCUGAGUUCAGACCGG